rnacentral:rRNA from 1 species
GACGAACGCUGGCGGCGUGCUUAACACAUGCAAGUCGAACGAUGAAGAAGAGAAACGCGAACUUCGGUUCAAAUUUCACUUCGGAUUAGUGGCAGACGGGUGAGUAACGCGUGAGCAACCUACCUCUUACAAAGGGAUAGCCUCGGGAAACCGUGAUUAAUACCAUAUGACACAUUCAUAAGGCAUCUUAAGAAUGUUAAAGCUACGGCGGUAAGAGAUGGGCUCGCGUCCCAUUAGCUAGUUGGUGAGGUAACGGCCCACCAAGGCGACGAUGGGUAACCUGCCUGAGAGAGUGAACCGUCACACUGGAACUGGGACACGGUCCAGACUCCUACGGGAUGCAGCAGUGGGGAACAGUGCACCAUGGAGGGAGCUCUGAUGCAGCGACGCCGCGUGAGCGAUGAAAGUAUUCGUGUCGUAAAGCUCUGUUCUAUGGGAAGAAAAGGACUGUACCAUAGGAGAAAGCCCCGGCUAAAUACGUG